rnacentral:rRNA from 1 species
UACGUAGGGGGCAAGCGUUGUCCGGAUUCAUUGGGCGUAAAGAGCUCGUAGGUGGUUUGUCGCGUUGUCCGUGAAAACUCACAGCUCAACUGUGGGCGUGCGGGCGAUACGGGCAGACUGGAGUACUGCAGGGGAGACUGGAAUUCCUGGUGUAGCGGUGGAAUGCGCAGAUAUCAGGAGGAACACCGGUGGCGAAGGCGGGUCUCUGGGCAGUAACUGACGCUGAGGAGCGAAAGCGUGGGGAGCGAACAGG